GAUGAACGCUGGCGGCGUGCUUAACACAUGCAAGUCGAACGAUUAAAGCCCCUUCGGGGGUGUAUAGAGUGGCGAACGGGUGAGUAACACGUGGGCAACCUGCCCUGCGCUUCGGGAUAACUCAGGGAAACCUGAGCUAAUACCGGAUACUCCUUGGGGGUCGCAUGGUCUCCUCGGGAAAGUUCCGGCGGCGCAGGAUGGGCCCGCGGCCCAUUAGCUUGUUGGUGAGGUAACGGCGCACCAAGGCGACGAUGGGUAGCCGAGCUGAGAGGCUGAUCGGCCACACUGGGACUGAGACACGGCCCAGACUCCUACGGGAGGCAGCAGUGGGGAAUAUUGGACAAUGGGGGCAACCCUGAUCCAGCAAUGCCGCGUGAGUGAUGAAGGCCUUAGGGUUGUAAAGCUCUUCUACCCGGGAUGAUAAUGACAGUACCGGGAGAAUAAGCCCCGGCUAACUCCGUGCCAGCAGCCGCCGUAAUAC
rnacentral:rRNA from 1 species